rnacentral:rRNA from 1 species
UCGAACGGCAAGGACUUUCGGGUCCCUAGAGUGGCGCACGGGUGAKUAACACGUACACAACAUACCCUAUAUUGGAGGAUAGCCUUGGGAAACUGGGGGUAAUAUUCCAUAGUAUUUAUUGGAGGCAUCUCUGAUAAAUUAAAGAGCAAUCGAUAUAGGAUUGGUGUGCGUCCCAUUAGCUAGUUGGUAGGGUAACGGCCUACCAAGGCUACGAUGGGUAGCUGGCGUGAGAGCGCGACCAGCCACACUGGAACUGAGACACGGUCCAGACUCCUACGGGAGGCAGCAGUAGGGAAUAUUGGACAAUGGAGGCAACUCUGAUCCAGCCAUGCCGCGUGGAGGAUGACUGCCCUCUGGGUUGUAAACUCCUUUUGUACAGGAAGAAACCUCCUCAUUUAUGAGUGAGCUGACGGUACUGUAAGAAUAAGCACCGGCUAACUCCGUGCCAGCAGCCGCGGUAAUACGGAGGGUGCAAGCGUUAUCCGGAUUCACUGGGUUUAAAGGGUGCGUAGGCGGUUUGAUAAGUCAGUGGUGAAAUCAACGGGCUCAACCUGUUAACUGCCAUUGAUACUGUUGAACUUGAAUUUGGUAGAGGUAGGCGGAAUGAUGCAUGUAGCGGUGAAAUGCUUAGAUAUGCUUCGGAACACCGAUUGCGAAGGCAGCUUACUAUGUCAAGAUUGACGCUGAUGCACGAAAGCGUGGGUAGCGAACAGGAUUAGAUACCCUGGUAGUCCACGCCCUAAACGAUGAUUACUCGACAUUGGCGAUAUACCGAUCAGUGUCCUAGCGAAAGCGUUAAGUAAUCCAYCUGGGGAGUACGCCCGCAAGGGUGAAACUCAAAGGAAUUGACGGGGGUCCGCACAAGCGGAGGAGCAUGUGGUUUAAUUCGAUGAUACGCGAGGAA